rnacentral:rRNA from 1 species
UACGAAGGGGGGCUAGCGUUGCUCGGAAUGACUGGGCGUAAAGGGCGCGUAGGCGGUUUGUACAGUCAGGUGUGAAAUUCCCGGGCUCAACCUGGGGGCUGCACUUGAUACGUAUGGACUUGAGUGAGGAAGAGGGUCGUGGAAUUCCCAGUGUAGAGGUGAAAUUCGUAGAUAUCAGGAGGAACACCGGUGGCGAAGGCGGCUACCUGGACAGAAAC